UAUUUUCUAGCAAUGUAUUUACUGUUGCCCCACGAGGGCAGGGACCAUACCCAGCUGGUCUCCAUCAUCUGCCUAGAGCCUGCAAGAGUUCCACGUCUGCACUUCAUCCAUCAUGGACUGCCCUCCACAGAGCCUAGCAUGGCUUCUCAUUCUUAGCAAGCCCUCAAAGAAGGUUUGUUGCCACUGGAGUCUGUAGUAAUGUUCUAGAACCAGAACAAGAUCCAGAAGUGUCUUCAAUUUAUUAAGAAUAACUUAGCUUUGUUCACUCGGGUCUUAGCACAGAGUGCGUAAACACUGAAUUAUUUGAGAACUGGUGGUAGUGGGAGCCUGAGGAUACAUCUGUGGAAGUAUGCGUGCAUUCUAAGAGUGUUGGAUGCUUGGUCACCUGGAAGAACAGGGAAGAAAUGCCACCAACUACCAGGAAACCCAACCAUCAGAAAUGCCUGCUCCUUACAACAGCCAGUGACAAGGAGAAUUAUGACACCCUCACAAUAUUACUAAACACUGUCAGGAACAAAUUGCGGUAUCCGACCUUAAUGAUUGCUGGCUGAGACUGCAGGCUGAGGCUGCCUUUAUUACUUGCUGAAAUCAUGUUGUAAAUGAACCAAGAUGCCUGAAGAAAGUAAUACGAUGAAGUAAAAGAGGGGAACAGCAAGGGAGAGAAAAGCAGGAAGCUCCCUCUUUUGGAGGACUGACUACGUACCAGACACUAAGACAACUAAUCCCUAGGAUGAUUAGAAGCUCCCGAAAAUGUGUUGAUUGCCUUUUUCCAUUUACGUUUUUAAUUAAGUGGUUUUCCAGUUUUGUAACUUUGAUUUGCUAUAAAAGGGCUUUUGCAACACUUUCCAUCAUGCUUCCUCUUUCUUAAGCUUUUCAGACCCAAUUUUAUAUAUUCUAAUUGCAAACUCUAGUUCAAGUUCCUAAAACACUCUCUUAUAAUUAUCACCAAACAAAUGCAGUGAUUCCACAAAGCUCAAACAUGUGUCGCA